AAAACAUAACAGCCUAGGAAAAAGGAUUUGGUACAUAAACAUCAGGCAAAGGUUAAGAUCUCUGUUUAUAUAUAAAUCAUCUCCUGGAAAUCAAUAAGAAAAAGAUGUAUACCAUCUUUUAGAACAGAGAAAUUACAUGAUUUGGCAAUUCAGAGAAUAGAUAUCCAUUAGCUGAUGAAUGAGAAAAUAACUAAAACAAGAACAAAGUACCAAUUUUAAAGUGCCAAAAUUUAAAAGAUUGAGGAAACAGAAAGACUGUUUCCAGUGAGGAAACAGAAUCUCUCAUGUUCCAUGAUUGGAGUGCAAAUUGGUACCAUUUUUUAUGGCACCAAUUUGUUAGCUGCCCCUCCCACCCCCAGUCUUAAAUGUGGGUAUACUUCCAACCUGAGAACCAUGUCUUGAAGGUAGAUUUCUCUAAGACUUUACUACUAGAUGGUCCUCCAACCAGAGGUCUUUUCUAAAGCAUUCAAUCCCAACUUUGAGCAUAAACCAUACUGUGCAACUCUUUAUCACAUGCCCUUUUAGGAUAGCAUUCUCAACCAACUCUUUUUUUUUUUUUUUAAUGAAAUCUAUUGUCAAAUUGGUUUCCAUACAACACCCAGUGCUCAUCCCAACAGGGGCCCUCCUCAAUACCCAUCACCCACCCACCCCUCCCUCCCACCCCCCAUAAACCCUCAGUUUGUUCUCAGUUUUUAGGAGUCUCUUAUGUUUUGGCUCCCUCCCUCUCUAACCAUUUUUUUUUCCUUCCCCUCCCCCAUGGUCUUCUGUUAAGUUUCUCAGGAUCCACAUAGGAGUGAAAACAUAUGGAAUCUGUCCUUCUCUGUAUUACUUAUUUCACUUAGCAUAACACUCUCCAGUUCCAUCCAUGUUGCUACAAAAGGACAUAUUUCAUUCUUUCUCAUUGCCACGUAGUAUUCCAUUGUGUAUAUAAGCCACAAUUUCUUUAUCCAUUCGUCAGUUGAUGGACAUUUAGGCUCUUUCCAUAAUUUAGCUAUUCUCAACCAACUCUUAAUGAAAAGGUUGUAUGAUGUAUGCUUCUCAAAAUAAAGGCUGGAUUAUGUGAGUAGGACUAAUCUUUAUUUUUAGCCAGUCUAUAAAGAUGUUAAAGCAACAGAAAUAAGUUUUAUCUACAUUUUAAACAAAAUGUGCAUUCCUUUGGCCCACCAAUUCAACUUUUAGGAACCUGUUCUUCAAAACUGCUUCCAGACAUACACAAAGAUGUUCAUUGCAGCAUUGUUUAUUAUAGCAAAACAUUAAAACAACCUACAUGGCCAUCCACAAGAGAACAGCUUUUCUUUCAUGAUUCACCCAUCCUAUUGUAUUCACCCAUACUCUUACAGAUCAAAAGAAAAAGAUACAUCUCUAUAUACUGGCAUGAAAGUAUCUCCAAGACUUAUCGCUAUAAGAAAAAAAGCAAGUUGGAGCGCCUGGGUGGCUCAGUCAGUUAAGUGUCUGACUUAGGCUCAGGUCAUGAUCUCCCGGUUUGUGAGUUCGAGCCCCACGUCGGGCUCUGUGUUGACAGCUCAGAGCCUGGAGCCUGCUUUGGAUUCCGUGUCUCCCUCUCUCUCUGCCCUCCACCACUCAGGCUCUGUCUCUCUCUCUCUCUCAAAAAUAAAUAAACAUUAAAAAAAAAAGAAAAAAGCAAGUUGCAGAACAUGGUUUGUAGUAUUAUCCCAUUCUUGUAAGGAAAAGAAAAUCUGCAUAACAACAAUGAAAACAUGUUAUACACAUUCUGUCAUAAUUUCAAAAUUACUGGUCUUUAUCCUCGGUCCCAUUUAUUUGCUUUUACUAACAUUUCCUUCUCUAUAUAUACCAUUUCCCUACAUCCAGCUGUUCAGAUCUUGCUUUCCUUUUCAUAACUAGCUCAAAUACCACCUUAUUCAUUCAGCAAGAUUUGUCCUGCCCAUGGUCGGUUAGGCCUUGUGCUGAACCUUGGUGGGAUACAGGAAUGAGUUGUAUCUUGUCCUAUCAGGGAGCUCAAGUCUAGAGGGAAGAGACACCUAGACAAUGACAACAUAGUAUGGUUUGGUAUGGGACAGAAGUAGGUUCAGAGGGCUUCCUGAGGAAGGGCACCUAACCCCACUUGUCCCCUACAGGAGGGGACAUGGGUACUGAGGCUUGAAAGAGUGAUAGCUUUUCUUCAUCCCCCAACCCUGCCAGAAAUGGUCUUGCCUACUUUUUUGGCUCUUCCAAGCAAGAUGACCUAGUGGGGGAAAGUAGUUGAAUUAGUACCUUUCUUUAUUUAAAUCCAAGUUUGACCACUUACCAACUCUAUGACUAUGGGCAGGCCAUUUAACCUCUGAGCCUCUGUUUCCUCAUCUGUGUAAUGAGGAUAAUGCCUACUUACCUCUCAGGGCUGAUUGGAGAUGGUGCAUGUAAAAUUCCUGGGUGACUAUCAACUCUUGAAGGGCAUGCACUACCCAUGUCUUGUUUUCCUCAUAGCCAAGUAUGUAGCAUUGGAUUGGAUUGGAUCUAAAAACUUCAUGUAUCUGAGGAUGGUUCUGGAUCAAAGAAUGGGCCCAACCAUAGUGGGGCUUUGAGAUGAGAAGCUGAGAGUAGUACAUGGGAUGGAGGGGGUUACGCUAUAAAAAGAGAGAGCCAGGUCUCUGGUCUUGCCAUGAAAGGGGACACAGGAGGGAAAAAAUGAAGCCAUGGUAAGUGGAGCCCAGACAGGGCAUUCUGGCCCUGGUUCUUGGCCCUGUUCUACCGAUGCCAUCUUCCAAUCUCACAGUCCAGGGCAGGGAAGCAUGGUGGGCCAAUACUUGCAUUGGUGCCAACACAUCUCAAUUUCAUCCCCAGUUCUUUCACUCACUAGCUGCAUGACCAUAGACAACUCACUUCACAUGUCUGAGCCUAGUUCCUUAUCUGUUAAAAGAAACACAUAACAUCAUGGGGUUUAUAGAUGAGACCAGUUGCUGAAUGCAUGACACAUAAUGGGUAUUCAAAAAACACGUAGCUGUUAUUAGUGUUCAUUUCAGUAGAUACUUAUGGAGUUCUGCUGUAGCCAGGGCCUAUGCUGGGUAAUGGUUCUUGCCUUCCACAAGUUCCCAGUCAGUUGAGGAGACCAAGGAGAGCUAUGAUAGAGGGGCUCAUGGUGGAGGGGACUGUGGAAGCCCAAAGGAAGGGAUUUGGCCUGGUCUAGGACUGCUGCAGGUCAACUCAGACUAAAAGCUGAGUCUUAGAGGAUGAGUAAGAGGCGGUCAGGGACAGAAGGGUGAAAUGUGGAAGAACCUUUCAGGCAGAAGGAACAGCAUAUGUAGAAGAACCUAGAAGUUAUUGGGUAGGGCCAGAGGUUCUUAACCUGGGUUUCAUGGGCUUCCGGUGGUCCAUGAACCUCCUGAAGUUGAAUGCAAAACAUUUUGGGUGUGUACCUACGGGCAUUUUUUGUUGGGGAAAUGGUCCGUGGCUUUCAUUAUAUGUAUAAAGGUCAAGAACCAAUGUUGCUAGUGAUGAAGUAGCAUGUGAGUAGAUUCUAAACAGGAGAGAAAUUUGGUAUAAUUUGUGUUUUAGAAACAUUGCAGUAGCAGUCAGUAUGAGAAAUGGAUUGUGUGCAUGGAGGCCAGCUGGAAGACCUCAACUGGGGUAUUGGCAUGGAAGGGAAUGGAUUUGAGCAGGACUUCUGUUGCAGUACUCCACUGGGCACCAGUCAUAUAGAAACAUUUUAAUUUCAAAUUAUGGAAUCUAAAGCCUUUGGGAGUUAUUAAUGAGAUAGACCCAAUAGAAGAUGGAGGAAAGGGAGGAGACAAGGAUGAGUUGGCAUUAGCAGAGGUCCAGAGGGACAUGAAUCCAGGGUAAUAGUGCAAGAGGAAAAGGGAAUCUCUAUUAAUGCUUACCCAGCAUUCAAAGUCCUUGCUAAUUACUAACUUCCAUCCUACUCAGUUCUUGGAGAUCCUGGGCAACACUGGAGACACUUAUUUCUCUAUGGUCUUUGAAGAGGAAUUACUUCUGGUUUGUGAGUCAGGUUGUUUCCUGAAGAAAGUAGUGUUUGAGCCAAUCAUUCAGGUCCAUAAAGAUUCGGAGAGCUAGAGAUGGGGGAGGAUACUCUGAGUGUGCACACAAAGGCCCAGGGGUGAGAGAUAGCGAAACUAAACAUGGGAGGGUGCAGAGGUUGGACCUGCCUCCAAACAGCUGUCUGGGGAGUUAAGGCUUCCUCUUUCAUGGUAGGCAGCUGGAGAGCAGUGAGCAGUUCUCGAGCAGGCAAGGUGGCAUAUCUCAUCCUUCUAAAAAGCUUUUUCGAAGGAGGGGAAACUAGGGAGGAGGCUGCUGUAGUAAUCCAAAAGAGAGAUAACUGAAGAUAGUGGCCAUGGGGACAGAGCAGAGGAGAUGGAUUUGAGAGGUGAUUGGGAGGAUCUUCUACUACUGGAAUAGUAGGCUGAAUAAAUUGUGGGGGUGGAAGGGAGUGGAGAUGACAGAGGUUGGAAUUCAGAGUGAGUUUCAGUGUUCAGGUCUGGCAAUGGAGUCAUUCAUUCAACAAAUAUUUAUUGAGUGCCAGAUGCUGUGCCGGGCAUUAGGAAUACAGCACCAAACAGAACAGAUGGUGGUCCUGAUGGAUCUUACAGGGGGUGAGAGGGAUAAUAAAUAAAUAAACAACUAAAUAUGUAGAAUGUGUCUGGUGGCACACCUAGCUGGGAGACAGUGAUCCAGAUAGAAGGAACAUAGAGCACAAAGUCCCUGAGGCAGCAGUGUGCGUGUUAUGUUUGAGAGACAGCAGGACACCAAUACGAUUGAAGAGUCAACAGGGAGUGAGAAGAGCAGAAGAUGAGGAGGCGGAAUCGGCAGAAUUUGGCAACUGACUUGUUAAGGGAGCAGGAGGAACCUAGCAUGACUCCCAGGUGUGUUUUGGGCUUGAGCACCUGGGUGGAUGGUGGUGCUUUUCAGGAAGGUGCAAAAUGCAGAGGACAGGUUUGCAGUGGUAAGAUGCUGAGUUCAGGGUCCCUGUGAGCUCAGAAGGCCUUAAAGACCAUCCUGAUGGAGUUUCUGGCAAGGAUUAGGCUUGAUGGGUCUGGGACCCAGGAGAGAGGGGAGGAGAUGGGGAGGGUCCUAAGCCAUCCCUGAAGUUAUGCAGUGGAGAUUGCUGAGAAAGGGUGUGGAAUGGAAGAGAAGAGGAUCAGAACUGGGGAAGAGGGACCAACACAGAAGAAAUGAGGAGAGGAAGAAGAGAUGGGGGUGGUCGGAGAAGUAGGAGGAAAACCAGCAGGCAGUGGGCUCAUGGAAGCAGAGGAAGGAAAGAGCCAUCCAUGCACAGGAGGGGCUUGUUAAGAGUGGCAAAUGUUAUAGCUGGUAGAAGUUAGAUGCGGGUGGAAGAGAGUCUAUUGGCUUUAACCACUAGGAGGUCCUCGACGACCUGGCUAAGAACAGUUUCUAUGGCAUGGUGGGUGCACCAGGCAGAUUGUGGUGGGUUGAAGAGCUCGUGGGAGGUAUUGAAGUGGAGAUGGCCAGUGUAGAUGAAUUUCUCAAGAAGCUUAGCUGUGAAAAGGAGAGAGGGACAGUGAUUGCUAGAGGGAGAUGUGGGGGCAGAUAGAGGGUUCUUAUUCCCAGAUGGGAGAGACUUGAGCUUCUAUAAAUGUUGGUAAGAAGGAGGCAACAGAGAGAGAGAGAGGGGUUGAGAUACAGGAGGGAGAGGGGGUGAUUGUUGUGGAGGAGGUAGCAGUGGUGGGUUCCAGAGCCCAGGUGGAGGGGCUGGCCUUAAAUAGUAUAGGGGCCCUCUCUUUCUUACAGAAAAGGAAGGCAGGGGUGGUGGGGUGGAGAAAUAUGAGGGUGUUGAGCGGGUUGGUGAGAGAAAUGCUUCAGUGAAGUUCAGAGCAACAAAUGGAGAUCCCUGACCAAGGGAUGGAUGCUGGAGCUAGGAGGGAGCAAGGAAUACUUCUGGUUGAGAGUCAGAGAGGACUUCAUGCAAGAAGCAGCAUUUAAGCUGGGCUAUGAUGUUCAGAUGGGAUUUCCAUAGGAAAAGAUGUAUGCAGAAGGAAGGAGCAGAGUCAGCAAAGGCACAGAGGUGUGAAAAGGUUGGCCAUCCUGAUGGAAUAAUGAACAAGCUGAUUUGAUGAAGGGUGAGAUGAGUGAGCCACUGAUGAUGACAGUAAUAAUAACAGUUACUACGUAAGAAGCACCAAACCUACCCUGUGGCAGUUGCCUUACGUACUUGAGUUCAUUUAAUCCCACCAUGCCCUGUGGAAUAGGUGUUUUCCAUUUUGCAGAUGAGGCAAAUUAGUCCUAGAGAAGUGAAGAGGUGGACCCAAGGCCACCCAGCUAGUAGGAGGUGUGGCCAAUAUUCAUACCCAGGUCUGUCUAACUCUAAAGCCCAUGCUUUUUCCACCUGACAGGGAAAGCCAGGUGAGGCCAUAUUGUGGGGGAGCCUUGAAUGCCAAGUUGAGGAGUCUGACCUUUAUCAAGGAAGCAGUGGGGAGCCAAGGGAAGAGGAGGAGGAGGAGGAGACUGAGGAAGAGGAAGAGGAAGACGCUCAUCAGUUCUGCUGUCCGGCCUCCGAGUGCAGUAGUCCCUCCUCUCGGUAACUGAGAGGACAAGGGUCAUUUUCUAUGCAGAAGCAAAAGCCUUAACCAGCCCCCCAACCUGCCCUGCCCAGGACCCCCCAUGGGACCCUGUCCCUGCUUCAGGAUAGGCAAGCAUCAUGCCCCUUCCUCCCCCACCUCCUUCUUGCAACUCCCCUGUCCCCCCACUACUGCCUCCCCUGGACUCCAGCCCCUGAAUUAUAAAGGCUGGAGCCCUAGGUCUGACUAAAAUGUGGGAGCAGUAGAGCUUGGAGCUUGGAACCUGGACCCUCCCGUACCCACACCCCACUUCCCAGGCACCCUGGAGCCUGCCACUCCUGGAGAGGUCUCCAAAUGACAUCCCAAGGACCUACCUCUGUCCUCUGUGAGCACAAACAGAGAUUCAGGGUGCCUAGGGCUCAGAGGACCAGACGGGGGUGGGACCCAGCCUGCCUAGUUCCCCAUUGCUCGCUCGCUGGUUCCCUCGCUGUGGCCAUUGCUGCCAUCUCCACUGCUUGAAGGCCUUGCCCCGUGCCCUCUGCCACUCCCAUAGUGCUCUGUAAAUAUGAUCAGGAUGAAAGGGCUUUCAGAGUGCGGGUGUUGCUGUGUACAAAGGAAUUUCCAUCAAUAAAAGCUGAUCUCUUC